GCUGCUACGUUUGGAACGGAGGAAACCGGCGAUCCGUUCCGCAGGAAAGGAAACUACGGGUGUGCAUUUUACAGGAAUCAAAAAAUCCACUCCGAGUCAAAGGAAAGAAAGGCUCGCUCUUUCUCCGUCUCUGUCUCUCACGUUCUCUCUCCGUCUGGGUCUACUUUUUCUCUUCCUCAUGAAGCUCUCAUCCCCAACCAUGGCUCUACAGAACUAGCUCAUCUGCCUCAAGAUUGGACCUCAAGAUGACGAAUCCACGACCAAGUAGCUCAUCUGCUCAACGGAAUCGCCCUCCUCUGCCUUUUCCCCUUCCAUCAACACUAGAUUGUGGUUCUCAAUCUGGAGGGGAUGAAAUAAUUUCACAAGAAACAGGUAAAGAUCUCAGCUCUCCCUGCCUUAUCUCAGUGUAGGGAGGUAGGAUGGCGGCGGUGAAUCGUGUUUCCAGGCGUCGAGGUGGAGCUGGAGAGGGCUGGCGGGGGUGCCGCUGUGAUGGAGGGCGCUGUACGCGUCAGUGGCACGAUACGAGAGUAUCGCCACUUCUUGCCGCUUGACCGCCGGCGCUGCCCCGGCUCUGGGUCCUCGCUUGCUUCUUCACCCCAAGACCUUUGGCCCUACCUUGGCCUAGAGCCGGGUCUGCACCCAACCCAAUGCCGGCAAAAGCAGUGUACUCCGUAGCUACAAUGAAAAAUAUUUGCGCAUACUCUCUUUUUAUUUGCACUGUAUCUAUCAGAGUAUCGCAACUUGUAGCGAACCUAUCCAGAGGAAUGGAAGCAUGCAC
rnacentral:lncRNA from 1 species